rnacentral:rRNA from 1 species
GGGGAGCCAAUCUCAGAAACCCGAUCGUAGUCCGGAUCGCAGUCUGCAACUCGACUGCGUGAAGUCGGAAUCGCUAGUAAUCGCGGAUCAGAAUGUCGCGGUGAAUACGUUCCCGGGUCUUGUACACACCGCCCGUCACACCAUGGGAGUGGGUUUCACCAGAAGUAGGUAGCCUAACCGUAAGGAGGGCGCUUACCACGGGGGGAUUCAUGACUGGGGUGAAGUCGUAACAAGGUAGCCGUAUCGGAAGGUGCGGUUGG